rnacentral:lncRNA from 1 species
GUGUGGCUAAGAUAAGAAAAAGAAUCUCUCCUAAAAUGUGCAUGUUUUGCUAAAAAUAUUAACUGAUUGUGUUCUGCUAUUUUACACUCUAAGAUAACGGAAGACACCUGCUAUGUCUUAAUAUGUUAUUGAUAAAUGAACUUUAAAUAAUUGUUUUGAUUGGAGCGCAAAAUGAGUCGUAUAUAUGUAGCUUUUGCAUGACUAGUAUAUAAUUAUGAGGAAAUUUAUAAAGGGUUUUAUUGACCAAAUAAGUACAUUAUUGCCAAAAAUGACUGUUUAUUAUAAACCCUAACUGGGCUUAAUACAGACAAACUGGGCAUUAAUACAGGGCCAUUACAGAAAAACAGGGCCAUUACAGAAAAAACAGGACCAUUACAGAAAAACAGUGUUAAUAUCAAAUAUAAUAAAUUUAACAUGGCCGCCGAUUUUCAAAACGGAUCGCCCCGAAAAAAAAUCAUCAUUAUUUCAUUCUAUAAAAUAUGGUUAUGCAAUGGUUUUCGUAAAAUCAAUAUUUUUGAAAUAGACUAUAAGUUUCAAAAACAGUAGAGAGUACAUCAAGUUGGCAGCAACACAUACACUUUUGUUCAGUUGGUUAAUACAUGUAUUAAGAAAUGAGUGUUUUUAUAAUGGCCCUGUUAUAUGUCCUCGGUCAGUAAUAAUGGCCUCAGAUGUCUGUAAUGUACCUCGGCGUUGCCUCGGGUCAUUACAGAAUUCCUCAACCAUUAUUACAGACCUUGGAC